CUGCAGGCAUUCUUCCUUACUCUGUCCCAGAACAGUCUCUCCGUGCCACUUUGCUACUACACAAAGGGACAGCACCAAUCUACACACUUUCAAAAAGGUGUAAAGUCAUCUUUGCAACAUUCGGGAAAAGAAUUACACAGGAUCCCUGAACCAUCCCCAAAGAGAAUCUUACCUGUUUGGAAACACAAACUGAGCAAACGAAUGUACAAAUGUGUCAAAAGUAACCAUAAUUGCACACAUUGCUAUUCCUCACAAGUGCCCUCUUCAUUCCCCUGUGAUUAUGCAAAGCAUGUAAAUGCCAUAGAAUCCAGUCUUGCACCUUCAUCAGCAAUUGCAAGUGGCACCAGCAGGCUACAGGACAGCUUACGCAAAGUCAAGAGACAGUAUUUAUGCCAUGCUGCAAUAAAAAUAAAUUGUACUUUAAAAAAAUCAAGUUAAACAGGUGAUGUACGCCUUGCUUAUUCAGACUGAAGCAUGCUGCAAAUAUUUCACAGAUUCUUCAAAAGAAUGGAUAAUUCAAAUUCAAAGGAAUCCUCAAACUGCAAUC